rnacentral:rRNA from 1 species
UACGUAGGGGGCAAGCGUGUCCGGAAUCAUUGGGCGUAAAGCGCACGUAGGCGGUCUGUUAUGUCGGAUGUGGAAAGCCCCUUGGCUCAACUGAGGAAGUGCAUCCGAAACUGGCAGGCUAGAGUACGAAAGAGGAUCGCGGAAUUCCCGGUGUAGAGGUGAAAUUCGUAGAUAUUGGGAGGAACACCAGUGGCGAAGGCGGCUCACUGGACCGGAACUGACGCUGAGGCGCGAAAGCGUGGG